rnacentral:rRNA from 1 species
CAGCAGCCGCGGUAAUACGAAGGGGGCUAGCGUUGUUCGGAAUUACUGGGCGUAAAGCGCACGUAGGCGGAUACUUAAGUCAGGGGUGAAAUCCCGGGGCUCAACCCCGGAACUGCCUUUGAUACUGGGUAUCUCGAGUCCGGAAGAGGUGAGUGGAAUUCCGAGUGUAGAGGUGAAAUUCGUAGAUAUUCGGAGGAACACCAGUGGCGAAGGCGGCUCACUGGUCCGGUACUGACGCUGAGGUGCGAAAGCGUGGGGAGCAAACAGGAUUAGAUACCCCGGUAGUCCCUGUCUCUUAUAC